GAGAUGGGGACUACGGGGUCUCCAGUGGUUCAAACCCUGUCGUUCCUCCGCGUUACAGAGCUACAGCGGUCUCCGGGUGGCGAAGUGCGGAGACGGGGUUUUGGAGACGGUGGAUGGAGGAGGGGGAGGGAAAGCUGCCAACUUUGGAUACCAACCCCGUACACCCACCGAAGGGGAUGUCCCACUUUUUCCAGCGCUGGGAGCAAAAAGAUAACAGUGAGCGAGGUUGAAAAAUUAUAAAGUAUCCCAGGACAGUGCUCUGUAACCAGCCCAUAGUAGCUACUGCUAUUUUACCAGCUACUGUAUCUUUCCUUCUUUGAUUUCCAGCACCUGACAGUGAAAAGAGCAAUUUGAAGAAAAACAAAAUUUAUCUUCAAUGUGAAAAGCAAUUUAUAAAAAUCCGAAUACUUGCCAGGAGCAACUUGACAAAAAAGACAAAGGUGGUAGAAGAAAUGUAACCAGCCCACAAUUCCAAUGUUGAUAACAGAUGAGCUCCCUUUCAAGGUGACUGACAUUUACACAAGUACACAGAGCAAGAAGAAGGUCUGAGUGAACUGCCAAGCAUUUUAACUUCUCCUGAGACCAAGUACAUCAACAGUUCUCUUGGAAAAGAACAACUGAUUUGGGAGUCUAGCAGACUGCCAGCUGCAAGACAUUCAUCCAGCAUCAGGAACACAAUGGGCCUUCAUUUGCCUGCCUUUCUGAGGGCACCAAUCAAAAGUAACAGCUGCCACCUUUUUCUAUGAGACUUGAUUAUAAUUUUCUAUGGCCAAGGGUUUGCUGUGACACUUCCACAUCAUUCUUCAGUAUGUAGUCCAGAGAUUAGCUACAGAUUCAAGAAACACAGACUGUAAACUAUUAUAUACAGACAUAUCUCAAAAUAAGCAUACCCAUUAGUGCCAGCUGCCCUGAAAGACUGAAUGACCCCAGCUAUUUUCCAAAUGUUUUUUCAGAAAGCCAUGAACACACCUUUCUGGGAUCCUAUCUAUUUCAAAGACAGGCAAAGCUCUGUGGUUCAGUUCCACCACCCAGUACCAAGCCCACAGUAUGCAGACCAUACGCCUUACACAUGGCCUUUUCUCUUUAUGUAAUUGCUGUACCAUAUUCAGCAGAUCUAGACUGACUCAAAGCAUGUUCCCUCAAGAAGCUCCACAGAAAAAAAGGUUUCUGUGAUCAAAAAUCAUUUGGGAAAUGCUGCAAACCCUAUCUGCCUCUUAGAGCUUAACCAUGCAUGUCGGGGCAUAAUAUAAACCUUUUCCAGUCUGGGCCACAGAGUGAGACCCCACCUCUAAAAUAAUAAAUCAAUAAACUCUUGAGAAGUACACAGAAAAGAAACUUCUGUAACUUUUUAGGUCUUAAUUACAAGCAAUUGUAGCUUAAUCUAAA
rnacentral:lncRNA from 1 species